AAUAACGGCAUUCGUCGCUGGCGUGGUCUUUUCUCCGUCUGUACUGAAGUGUUAUUAUUGCUGAGUAGCGAGGAUUUAAAGCUGUUAAAUGUUCCUCGAUAUAAUGUUUAAUAGUGGAACGUUAGUUUUGUGCACUCUACGGCCACCUUGACCCAAUGGACGUUUAUUGUGGGUGUUUGUGUAUUAAUGCAUCCUGGAGAAGAAAAUCCGGCUUGAACACCAGCUACAGCAGGUAACAGACUACGGGCUACGAUGGGACCUGAUCGGCAUCAGAUUCAUGAGUGCAGAUGAAGGACACUGAAGAUUCAGCAACGUCAUUGAUGGACAGGGACAUGUAAUGGUUCUGGGAGGAAGAAUGAUUACAUGAUUGUUUAUUUACUUGUAAUGUAUAAACAAUGUGUAUAAAUAAAAAUAUCAAAGUUG